UAUAUAUAUAUAUAUAUAUAUAUUAUAAAUAUAUAAUAUUAUAUUUAUGACUGUCUUUCUGGGUUAAAGCACGCUUUGUGGGGCUGACAGGGGAAAUGUAAGUUGCCAAUCCAUGUUUAUGCCUGGUUAUGUAUCGCCCUCUUGAAUGAUCACCCUCACUCUUUUGCGCAUACAAUGCCCAGGUCUGUUACAGUGCAAGGUAGGAUGGAGGCUCAGGAAUUCUGGGAGUGGAAGUCCACAGGCCAUAAAGUUGCCAUAGUUUUCUGCUCUUAGCAGUGUGGCGUUGCCUUGCCCUCCUUCCCGUUGGCCCUUUCAAGCUUGGGUUGUCUCUCGCAAACCACCACACACCCCAAAGUACAUCAGGUGUAGGUGUAACGGCUGGUUGCGGCCUUGUCUUUCCAACCAUCAACUCUUAGGAACAAUACGCAUUUCAUGCUCCACCAGUGGUGAUUUUGCAAGGUCACUCAACUUCCCUCUGGUUUCCAGGUGUCUUUGGCCACUGCUGCAUCCAAAAAAAGAGGAAAUAGUGGAUGGAUAGAAGUUUUGGGAUAAGUGAUCAGAGGUGAAACCAAAUUAAGGUGUUGCAUGGGUUUGGUUGAAAAAGAGGAGAAACCCAAGUGGUGGUUGAUACUGGCUUAAUCCAACUGUAGUCCAACAUGGAAAUUCUGUGUUAGCACUGAUUAAACCAAAAAAACAAAAUAUGGCAGCAGAUGAAGGUUUGUUCUGGGUUGGAAAUAUUGAUUCCUCUCUUUUAAAAAAAUAAUAUUUUUUUGGCUAGGGGGUUUGUGUUUGAGUAAGAACAAAGAAUUAAAAUAUAAACUUCUAGAUUGUAACUGGAGAUAAAAGUUACGUUUGUAGUGCUUUCUUUCCUUUGUUGCUUGUAUAGCGUCAGUCCCAACCACCUUUUCACCUCCCUCCAUAGUUAACUCUUUCCCGCCUUUUUUGAGGAAAAAAAAAGAGAAAGAAAAAAGAAAAAAAAGUAUUCUAUGUAGGAUUCUUUUUAUUUAUUUUAUUUUUUUGUGCUCUCAGUUAAAAUCACUGUAGAAGUGCCCCAUAAUACAUUUUAAAUACUGAAAUAAGGGUUUGUUUUGCUUUGUUUUUCUGAGUUACAACGGGACAGUUUUUAUUUCAUUUUCAAACAUUUUAUCUACCUCACUCUUUUUUUGUGUGUAUAUAUAAAAAUAUACAUCUCACAUUUUCUCAGCAGCCGACAAUAUACUGUUGAAUACUGGCGACCUCAUUUGUUAUACAAACCACAUCCUCCAGGUUUUUAGAGAAGGAGGUCACUGCUGAACACACAUGCACACCUACACACACACACACACAAAUCCCUUGGAGAAGAAAGUUGUUACGGCUGUACACUCACAAAUGCUUUUGUCUCUGUGGUAUGUUGCGGAUUGAAAGCAGUUUUCACUUGGUUUUGAGUAAAAAUGAAAAGCUGCUGUCCCUCUAGUUCAGAGGUCUCUAAACUUGGCAACUUUAAGACUUGUGGACUUCAACUCCUAGAAUUCUCCAGCCAGUUGGCUGGAGAAUUCUAGGAGUUGAAGUCCACAAGUCUUAAAGUUGCCAAGUUUGGGGACCCCUGCUCUAGUUAAAAAGAACGGGGAGGUGAAAAUUCCCAGGGGCACCAUUUGGUGGAGUUAAAACAGAUUAUCUGCUGGGAUGAAGUAGGGUUUAAAAAUGGGGAGCUUUUAACAGGUUGGUUAGGUUCUAGUUACAUGUCAAAUGUGGACAUGGAGAAGGAGGGCUAAUCCUUUUGAAGGUCUCCAGGUGCUUCCAAAACCCUGAAAGAGGUGUUGGAACCAAGUGAUAGCUACCUAAACGUACAGUAGAUCUAUAUUUCUCUGGAAUAUCAGCAAAGUGGAGUUCCCCCAAACCAACUUUUAGGAGUGACCUGGUGGGAACAUAAAGACACGGUGUGUGUUUGUAGCUGAAAAAAAUGUCGACUGUUUGGAUUGUUUCCCCUGAACCUUCAAACCAGGGGUCCCCAAACUUGGCAACUAUAAGACUUGUGGACUUCAAUUCCCUAAAUCCUUAAAGUUGCCAAGUUUGGAGAUCUUUGCUCCAAACAAUGUUUUGCAGUCGUGGAAACCGUCAGGUGACGAGUCCUGGGCUUCACUGAUCUGCCAGUAAGAUGGCGGUUCUCCUUUCUGGCCACCGUUCAUAGCCACAGAGCUUGAAAUCCUCUUAUCCAGUUUGUGGUCAUCCAGCUGGGUUGAAUCUGGAUUCUCCACCUGAAUUUGGGGUGUGCGUUCUUAGCACACCUGGAGACUCCAAGUUGAAGGAUGACUUGCUUGCUGCAUCCGAAUUGUGUCAUGCUCAACUAGAUGAUACAAAACUUAAUUGUGUCAAUGUCCACUAGUUGGCCUCUAGAGAGAUGAAAGUCAUCUAAGGCCAUUUUUGUUUCUAAAAUGGGUUUUGGUAAGGAGCAGAUCCUGGCUAUCCUUUGCUUGAAGCCCUUCUGUUUUUUCAAGUGAUUGUGUUUGUGUAUGUGAGUUUAGUGGUGGCCUCUCCUCUCUUGCACAUACUAAUCUCCUGUUUAGAUCUUCAGAUCUUUCAACUGGUUUCAGAUGAUUUUCCCCCCUCUAAACUGUCCAUGUUAUUACUUUUAGUUGUAUUGUAGGUGGCUUAAAAUAUCAGGAGAGAAAACUAACCUUACAAUGCCCAUCAGGACAUACAUUUCAUAAGCAUUCAGAAAUAGGGCAGUUGUGUAAUUAAAUAAGUAGGCCUAUGUCACAGGUGAGCUCACCUCAAAUCAAAUCACCUCAAUUCUACCAUAGUGUUCUGCAUUCAUAUUCUUAAAUACUCAUGUUGGUUUCCACAUAUAUUUUUUUGUUUUGUUAUUGCAAUCUUUUGGUGUGUUGCCCCGAUAAUAUUAUCUAUGCCUUUUUUUUCCUUCAUACCAUCUUUCGGUUGAUAGUGAACCCAUGUGGUCUAUGCAUUUCCCAUCCCCACCCCACCCCAAAAAUGUGUUGGCUUGAUAUUGGGCACAAGGCUGCAAUUUUCUGCAGGGUUUAUAAGAGAUGGAGAAUUUAGUUUAGUUUCUGGAUGGGUUUGGAUUGAAAUGAUACAAUCUCAGUUGCUGGAUGUCAUGAUCAAAGCGUAGAACUGAAUUGGCUUCACCAAGGAGACCGGAAAGUUAGACCACUUGUCCCAUUCAUGCACGAAAGUCUGAAAAGAGCUUUUCUAAGCCCAUCCUUUCUAAAUUCUUAAUUCAAAUUAUGUCCCCACUCUAUCCCAGAUCUCCCAGUACUUGGAUGUAUCACCAUUUCCAGUUUGCAAUGAACAAGCAGUGCUUGCUGGUACACCUGUUGCGCAAAUCUAGAAGGCUUAGCUUGAAUGGCACAGCUGGUGCAGGAAAUUGUAGUUCCAACACAACUGAAGGAGGGACUUCCCUGGUUUAAGCCAUUGGUUCUCCGCAAACCACUUUCCAUAGCAGGACUCAACCUAGGGGCUUGGAUGUGUUACUAUUCGAUCGCACAAGGUGAUCUUGAGGCAUUACGGUAGAAUGUGGUCUUUCCUGCCAUAUUCUCUACGGCAUCCCUAUGAAAUCAAUUCAAGACUGCUUCGGACUUUUCACUUCUCAUUAAGGAAGGAUCCAGCUCUGCGUGGAUUGCCUAUUUUUACACCUUUGCAUAUAAUACUCUGGAGAUAGGGCAGCAGAGGGUAACCAAUGGUUGUCCUGGCUAGGGAUUAUGGGUGUCUCAAAACCGGAAGAUUUUUGGAAGGCUGGAUUAGACAGUACUAUAUCUGCAAUUUUACUUCCAGUCCCCUUUGCUUUGGAAUUAUCAAUAGCUGGAUAGUUGCCUUCCAGUCAUCCUGUAAGGAGGUCAAUGAACAUGUAUCGUGCUUGUUUUUUAGAGCCUUUGCACGGAUGCUACCCAAUGGUGUUUGUUAAAUUGUAAUGGUGCUGCAUUUUUUUUUUAAAAAAAACCCCACAAUUCAGUUUUAAUUUUUGAGAUGGGUUUUCCUUCAGCGAACGGCCUGAGUCCCUUGGUUACUCUGUGAUGUGCAGAACAUGGUUUGGGUUCAGAGUGAGGGCUUCUGUGUCAAAAUAGAACUGCUACCCGCCGCUGGUUUAAUUUUUGAUGUCAGUAAUGCCACCCGAAGCAGAGCCUUCGAGAAAGCUGGUUCCCACUUUAGCUUCCUCCUCUGCAUCUCCACAUAACGUGAAGAGUUUAAGUUGGUUAGCAUCGACGGGCCAGUUUGAUGCUCCAAAGGCAGUUGAUCCCAGAACUGGUUGGAAAGUGGAUCUGCUGCUUAGAUCUCUGGGAAAUACGGAGGGUUGUUUAGUACAAUCUGCUGGGUAUCUGAAUGACACUCCUGUUGUUGGUAUAAUGUUUGAUAUAGUUAUAUUUUUAAAUGAAAUUUCAUUCCAGUAGUUGGUGACAUUUCAUUGUGACUUUUAUUUAAGUUCGUCCAAGAUGUUUUCCUGUUGUCUAUUCAGGUAAUUUGUUCAUAUAUCUUCUGGCUGAGGGGUCGGCAAUUAUUUCAGGCACCAUAAACGCCCACUCCUUCCCCAUUUUUAAAAAGUUACGUUUGACAACUUUGCCCAAAUCCCAUACAAGAUCA